GACGAACGCUGGCGGCGUGCUUAACACAUGCAAGUCGAACGGAACUCUUUGGAUCAAGACUUCGGUCAAGUGAAUUUGAGUUUAGUGGCGGACGGGUGAGUAACGCGUGAGGAACCUGCCUUUCAGAGGGGGACAACAGUUGGAAACGACUGCUAAUACCGCAUAACGCAUAGAGAUCGCAUGGUCUUUAUGCCAAAGAUUUAUCGCUGAAAGAUGGCCUCGCGUCUGAUUAGCUAGUUGGUGAGGUAACGGCCCACCAAGGCGACGAUCAGUAGCCGGACUGAGAGGUUGACCGGCCACAUUGGGACUGAGAUACGGCCCAGACUCCUACGGGAGGCAGCAGUGGGGAAUAUUGGGCAAUGGGGGAAACCCUGACCCAGCAACGCCGCGUGAAGGAAGAAGGCCUUCGGGUUGUAAACUUCUUUUACCAGGGACGAAGAACGUGACGGUACCUGGAGAAAAAGCAACGGCUAACUACGUG
rnacentral:rRNA from 1 species